rnacentral:rRNA from 1 species
UGAGGAAUAUUGCACAAUGGGCGCAAGCCUGAUGCAGCAACGCCGCGUGCGGGACGAAGGCCUUCGGGUCGUAAACCGCUUUUCUGGGGAAAGAGCAAGGACGGUACCUCAGGAAUAAGUCUCGGCUAACUACGUGCCAGCAGCCGCGGUAAAACGUAGGAGGCGAGCGUUAUCCGGAUUUACUGGGCGUAAAGCGCACGCAGGCGGCUCUGUGAGUCGGACGUGAAAGCUCCCGGCUUAACCGGGAGAGGCCGUUCGAUACUGCGGGGCUUGAGGUAGGGAGAGGAAUGCGGAAUUCCGGGUGUGGUGGUGGAAUGCGUAGAUAUCGGAGGGAACACCGGUGGCGAAGCGGCAUUCUGGCCCUCACCUGACGCUGAGGUGCGAAAGCGUGGGUAGCAAACAG